rnacentral:lncRNA from 1 species
UCAAAACGUCAAGCGUCUGGUUUCUCUCUAUAUUCUACGCCACGAAAUUGACUUUUCUUGGAUUAGCUACCUCCUCCAACAAGGGCCGAAAGAUUCUCUGUCUCUCCUUUCUUUGCUCGUCGACGCCAAUAAUGACUCAUAUCCUUUCCUUUUCGUUUUCAUUUUUCGUUUUGCUCUUCGUUUUUUCUCUUCUGUUUUCGAUAUUGUGCUUUGUGAAUCAAUGAUUUUGUGUUUUAAUUAACUGAGAUCCUUCUGCACGCGGAAACCAAAGGGAGCGCGAUCGUGAACGAUCUCAGUCUCGUUCCUCCGGCAAGGGCAGUAAGGGAAAGGACGACGGCUUGACCCCCGAACAGCGUCGCGAAAGGCAUUAAUU